GGAAGUUUAGCUACUGUGACAUCCACUAUGCUCUUGGUUGCCAAGGGUGGGUUGGCUGAUCUGGCAGGCUCAAGGGUGUCCUCUUCCCCCCUCACUCACCCAUGGACCCCUUCUUGAAAUCAAGCCAGAGGCCGACCUACUCAGCUCCUGGUAAAUGGUAUGGGAAUAACCGUGCUGCUCUGGCUGUAAAGCUAAAGAAUUUCCCAGAAUUCUUGUCUGCCUUUCCAGGAGUUGUACAGGGAGACACAGAUAGAUUGGGCUUCUCAUUUCU
rnacentral:sRNA from 1 species